UUGGAGGGCAAGUCUGGUGCCAGCAGCCGCGGUAAUUCCAGCUCCAAUAGCGUAUAUUAAAGUUGUUGCAGUUAAAAAGCUCGUAGUUGAAUUUCGGGAUUGACGUGACGGUCAUGCCUUAAGGGGUAUGAACUGUUACUGUUGAUUUCUCACCUUCUGGAGAAACUUGAUGUCCUUUAUUGGGUGUCUUGCGGAUCCAGGACCUUUACCUUGAAAAAAUUAGAGUGUUUAAAGCAGGCAUUUUUGCUCGAAUACAUUAGCAUGGAAUAAUAGAAUAGGACGGCAUGGUUCUAUUUUGUUGGUUUCUAGGAUCACCGUAAUGAUUAAUAGGGAUAGUUGGGGGCAUUAGUAUUCAAUUGUCAGAGGUGAAAUUCUUGGAUUUAUUGAAGACUAACUACUGCGAAAGCAUUUGCCAAGGAUGUUUUCAUUAAUCAAGAACGAAAGUUAGGGGAUCGAAGACGAUCAGAUACCGUCGUAGUCUUAACCAUAAACUAUGCCGACUAGGAAUCAGACGAUGUUAAUUUUUUAAUGACUCGUUCGGC
rnacentral:rRNA from 1 species